GGGGUUGUGGCUCAAUGGUAGAGCACUUGCCUGGCAUGUGUGAGGCACUGGGUUCCAUCCUCAGCACCCACA
rnacentral:tRNA from 1 species